UACGUAGGGCGCAAGCGUUGUCCGGAAUUAUUGGGCGUAAAGAGCUCGUAGGCGGCUUGUCACGUCGGUUGUGAAAGCCCGGGGCUUAACCCCGGGUCUGCAGUCGAUACGGGCAGGCUAGAGUGUGGUAGGGGAGAUCGGAAUUCCUGGUGUAGCGGUGAAAUGCGCAGAUAUCAGGAGGAACACCGAUGGCGAAGGCAGGUCUCUGGGCCACUACUGACGCUGAGAAGCGAAAGCAUGGGGAGCGAACAGG
rnacentral:rRNA from 1 species